rnacentral:rRNA from 1 species
GAUGAACGCUGGCGGCGUGCCUAAUACAUGCAAGUCGAGCGAACAGACGAGGAGCUUGCUCCUCUGACGUUAGCGGCGGACGGGUGAGUAACACGUGGAUAACCUACCUAUAAGACUGGGAUAACUUCGGGAAACCGGAGCUAAUACCGGAUAAUAUAUUGAACCGCAUGGUUCAAUAGUGAAAGACGGUUUUGCUGUCACUUAUAGAUGGAUCCGCGCCGCAUUAGCUAGUUGUUAAGUUAACGGCUUACCAAGGCAACGAUGCGUAGCCGACCUGAGAGGGUGAUCGGCCACACUGGAACUGAGACACGGUCCAGACGCCUACGGGAGGCAGCAGUAGGGAAUCUUCCGCAAUGGGCGAAAGCUUGGCGGAGCAACGCCGCGUGAGUGAUGAAGGUCUUCGGAUCGUAAAACUCUGUUAUUAGGGAAGAACAAAUGUGUAAGUAACUAUGCACGUCGUGACGGUACCUAAUCAGAAAGCCACGGCUAACUACGUG